CAACCCUCAAACCCCCGGGUUUGGUGUUGGAGAUCGGCAUGAGUCCUUCGGGGCGACGCCGUCUCCCAAAUAUAGUGGCGGUCUCGCUGUAGCUUCCUAUGCGUAGUAGCACACCUCGCACUGGAAAGCAGCGCGGCCACGCCGUUAAACCCCCCACUUUCUGAGU
rnacentral:misc_RNA from 1 species